rnacentral:tRNA from 66 species
UAGCUCAGCUGGGAGAGCACCUCCCUUACAAGGAGGGGGUCGGCGGUUCGAUCCC